rfam:Pseudooceanicola atlanticus strain 22II-s11g contig17, whole genome shotgun sequence.
CCUCUCACCUAGGGGUGUCCCGACAAGGGGCUGAGAUAUCGCUGGCGAUUGCAGCGCGGUGACCCUUUGAACCUGAUCCGGAUCAUGCCGGCGAAGGGACAGGAUCGCGCAGACCUC